rfam:Salmonella enterica subsp. enterica serovar Macclesfield str. S-1643 chromosome, complete genome.
GGGUCUGAUAUACGUUUCAUCGUAAAAGGUUGGUGUCAUUCGCCAACCUUUUUUGUUAGG